CCCUUAGAUGUCCUGGGCCGCACGCGCGCUACACUGAGUGUCUGAGAUACGAGUCUACUUGGUCCGGCAAGGUCUAGGUAAUCGCUAAAAGACACAUCAUGCUUGGGAUAGAUUAUUGCAAAUAUUAAUCUUGAACGAGGAAUUCCUAGUAAGCGCAAGUCAACAGCUUGCGUUGAUUACGUCCCUGCCCUUUGUACACACCGCCCGUCGCUACUACUGAUUGGAUGUUUAAGCGAGGUUCUCGAACUGCUAGCGACUUAGCUUCGGUGAGGUCGCAGUGUGGGAAGUGAACCUAGCUUUGGUGUCUAGAGGAAGUAAAAGUCGUAACA
rnacentral:rRNA from 1 species